rnacentral:lncRNA from 1 species
GUUCUCUCCAUGGGUGCAGACCUUAUUUUCUUUAUCCUCUUUUCCCUAGGCUGGCAUGGGCCUUACCUGUAGUUAACAACUGCUGGCAAGAAAGUGUAUCAUGUGUGUUGUAGAGAGUAAGGUCCAUUAGGAUCCUGCUGCGCRAGCCACCCCCUGGGCCCCCUGCCUCUCUGGAUCUCCCAGUCCCUCACCAGACAGCCCUGGCAACUGGAUCCAGCUUCCUCAGGGGUGCCCAAGGCGGCUGCCCAUGGGCCCUUCUUACACAGUACAUCCUGGCAGAUGUUAAAGGCAGACAAAGGCGAGGAAACAGUGAAUCUCCAAGGUCACACAGUAAAGACUAGCCCCAGGACCAGGACCUCUGCCUCUGCAUUGGUAGAAUCCAGUUAAGGCUGGGACCUCAAAGAGAUCCCAAGGAAGUGAGGCCCCUAAGCCAGACCUCUGUCCCUGGACUGCUUGGUGAGGGCCUGAUGGAUCUGGGAUUCCUGCAGAAGGUUCUGCUGGCAGAACAGAACGCGGGGGCUGGACAAAGCCUUUCACCCUCAAGUAAGUUAACCAGCUGGCCCUGGUUUGCCUAGGACUUCCUCACUUUUUGCAAUGCAAGUCCCAAAUCCUGGGAAACUCUCAUUCCUGAGCAGAUUGAGACAGUUGUUCACCUUAUCUGCAAGGCCUUUUGAACCUGCAAACCUGCUCUGGAUCACACCGCACCUUGCAUAGCUGGAUUCCUGGAUGCAAGGGAGACUUGGUAGCUGAGGAAGGACCCUGAGCCAGUGCCGGGACAUUCCCAUCAGAGUCGCAAGCUGUAUAGACUGUGCCUGUGUCAACAGCACAGAGCUCCUAGCCAUAGCAUGGGGGAGAGUAGAAAGUGCAUUUUCACCUGAGCCUCUAAAAAUAUAGCAACCUGGUCACUUCUGUGUGGUCUAUUACGG